UCUCAACCCCGGAUGUUAGGUGAGCGUUCAAUGGACAUGUUCGUGGCUCCCUCUCCCAUGUUCUAAUGUCGGCAGCCUUUUUUCUUCAUGCUGUUGACUUUCUCCAGUAAAAGAAAUUAUCAGAAGAUUUUCUCUAAACUAGUCAUUAUUUAUUUUUUUAAGAUUUUAAUGAUUUUUACUAGGUUAUAAUUAUACUGGUUUAAUUUAAAUUUUUUUUGGGGGGGCUCUCCAUCCGUUGUGGUUGGUUUAAAUAAUCUCGCUCUAGUUUUUUGGUUUGAUCUUGG
rnacentral:lncRNA from 1 species